UACUUCAAACUUUAGUUUCAUUUGGGGAUGCAUCGAAUUGUUAUAACCUUAUCGUGCUAGAAACGACGGUGAAACCAACUAUCAGUAUUGUCAUCCCUCCUAAGUCAUCUCUGAAGUAGAGUUGGGGUUGAACGGUUCUAGAAAGAUGGGCGACUAAACAAGACAUCUCGCGUCGACCUGAUUAUUCUCUUCCAAGUUUAUGACUCCAAAGGAAACUUCUAAAACCUCUAAGUUUCGAACCAUUAGGAACCACGCGAACGCUGGGG
rnacentral:lncRNA from 1 species